rnacentral:lncRNA from 1 species
UAGAUUUCUGACAAUGUGUGUGGUGUUUUUCUUUUUGCAUUUGCUAAUUAUCUUGUCUUUGUUUCUCAGUUACAGAUCCUCAGCUCCACGGUACCUGAUUUUCAUUUUCAUCACUUCAUUCAGCUUUCUCAGCAAGGAAGAUUGGCCUCUACACUGGAAGACCUUUGUCAGUGGCAUAUGCAUUUCAGACGACUUCCACCUUCUUUGUACAAGCUUGGUGAAAUACAUCAAAACUGCCAGUGGAGAUGGGCUGAGACACCAGGAUCAGACAGAGCUGUUACCUCUGUAGGCGGAUGACCAUGACUACCCAGAGAGCAAUAUACAGCUGGAUUGUUCAAGCUUUCCCUAGCUCCGGCAAGACUCACAGAUCACUGUUACCUUGUUCCUGUUCAACACCAAUCAAUUUCCAGUUUUCAAACUGAGACACAGCAGAGUCACUCAGUGAACAUACCUGCCUUUCACCAGCCUGGUAACAUGCUCCUUGUGAACAGGUGGCAUUGUGUGCAUCCUCCUCAGAACCUUGUAUUACAUACAGACAUUAAAGAGAAAUGUGAUGCUUGCCAUAUAUUUUUCCUACUUUGUCCUAUUUUAGUUACGAGUUGUGGGAUGAAAUUUGUUUAGAAUCUUUUCAGGAGCUUGGAUGCACUUUCACUAAAACUGAUGGAUGCUCGUGUCUCUGACUUUGCUGUGGAAGCUUCAGCUGUAAAUCACAAACGUGGUAGGUCUCCUAAAAUGGGGAGGGAGAGUGUACACUAUAGUAAAACUGCUCCUAUUUAUUUCAACUGUUUUGUCACUGCCUUUUUUUCUAUUAAGAAAAAUCAAUAUUCUGUUAUCCUUGUUCAGCUCGAUCUCACACCAAAUCAUUUCUCUAAAACAGUUUGCCAUUUAUGAUGUGACAUGACCGUUGCCUAAGUAACCCCAGCCCUGUUCCUCCCCCUCCCCAUACAGCCCUUCUCAUGAUGGAUCCCAUAUGGGAUGCCACUGGCAGAGCAAGGCUUAACUCUGCUGACCACUGAAUGGGCCUUUACAGCGCUGCCAGUCUGUCAUGGUCAGCCGACUGGGGAGCUGCAAACGAUAGGGGAUUGAAUUGUUUUGCCCAUACGAAGCCCUUAUCAGUGAUGUGUAUCUUAGCUGUUACAACUUACAGUUUCAACUGUAGCUCUAGUUACGUAAUUAAGUGUUCUAAAUUCACUUUCCUAACACAUACUGAAUUUCCUAAACUCUUCCUUUUUAAUGUUUUUCCUAAUUAAAAAUAAAUAAAUAAAAUUAAAAAAAAAAAAAAAAGUC